CUUGCACAAACUAGAGUUCUAGGCGUUUCCUUUGUGAUUUAAUUUCGGUCUGUGAUGGUGAUGUAUGAGGAUUGGGGUUACAAGGUUUACUUGUGCUAUUUGCAUUUCCUAGUUCAUAGGAUUAUUUCAUAGAGUAAUCCACUGUCAUAGACUGCAUUUCCCGAUAUUACCCGAUGCCGCCGCCCCCCAUCAACUUGACAUUGUUCUGCAUGUGCCCCUCACAGGCUACACUAAUCUGCUGCUUUCUUAGCAGAUUCUGUAUUUUUGAGGCUCAACUCCACUUGAGCUAAUGCUGCCCACUUGACCUUC